UCCAUAUUGAUUUGAGUUUAAUAACAAAAUUGGGUGCCUUUGUUUUUGCAUGUGUUAUUGCAUUUUAUAUAAUAGAAGUUUUUCCCGUUUUGUUGUUAGGAGCGCUUCUGUGACAGAUGAAAAAACAUAAUCUAGCCUGGCCCCAAAGACAACCUGAGGAGUACGGAGCUGCCUCUUCUCUUCUAGGCACAGAAGGAAUUGAUGCUUGUGAUUUUCUCUGGUUUGAAGACAAACACCGGCACCUCUGCGUGUCAAGGCCCAUCCCAGAUCCUACAGAUCAAGUCACAGAGGAAGCCCUGCCCUUGGGGUCAUUUAUCCAAAGUGUACACGGACCUGAAAGGAGAUCUGAGAAGCAGAUGAAGUCUGUCCAGGACUUGGAGAGGAGAAUUUGCAGCAUAAAGGGAAAGGUUAGUAAAAGGUAUGAGAAACA